rnacentral:rRNA from 1 species
UACGUAGGUGGCAAGCGUUGUCCGGAAUUAUUGGGCGUAAAGCGCGCGCAGGUGGUUCCUUAAGUCUGAUGUGAAAGCCCACGGCUCAACCGUGGAGGGCCAUUGGAAACUGGGGAACUUGAGUGCAGAAGAGGAAAGUGGAAUUCCACGUGUAGCGGUGAAAUGCGUAGAGAUGUGGAGGAACACCAGUGGCGAAGGCGACUUCCUGGUCUGUAACUGACACUGAGGCGCGAAAGCGUGGGGAGCGAACAGG